rnacentral:rRNA from 1 species
GUCUUUAUGAAGCUUCAUAUAAAGUCUGGCCUGCCCAAUGAUAUAAAAUUUAAUGGCCGCGGUAUAUUGACCGUGCGAAGGUAGCAUAAUAAUUAGUUUUUUAAUUGAAAACUAGAAUGAAAGGUCGAACAAGAAGUUAGCUGUCUCUAAAUUAAAUCUUGAAUUUAACAUUUAAGUGAAAAGGCUUAAAUACUUUAGGGGGACGAUAAGACCCUAUAAAUCUUUAUAUUUAAGUUUGUAAAAAAAAAUAUUAAGUACAUUUUUGUUUAACAGAUCUAAAUAUUUUGUUGGGGCGACAGAAGCACAAAAUGUAACUGCUUUAAAAAAAUAGUUAAUUAUGUUUAGUUAAAUGAUCCUUUAAUAAAGAUAUUAGUUUAAGUUACUUUAGGGAUAACAGCGUAAUUUCUUUUAAGAGUUCGUAUCGAAAAAGAAGUUUGCGACCUCGAUGUUGAAUUAAAGAUCCUUUGUGGCGCAGACGUUACAAAAGGAGGUCUGUUCGACCUUUAAAUCUUUACAUGAUUUGAGUUCAGACCGGUGUAAA